GGAGCGGGGGGCGUGGAGGCCAAAGACUCGGAACCGGAGUUGCUGGAGCUGCGUGGUGCGCCGCCCAUCGGUCUGAGGAGAGGCGGAGUGGCUUAGCCGGCGAGUGUCAGCGCUUGUCCCCUUCCCUCGGCGCCAUGAACGCGAGGGCGUCGCUGGAGCGGGACGCGGUGCAGUUCGCAUGGCUGGCGGUGCAGGGGGACCAGCGGUGCCACGAAGGCCGCUUCUCCGAGGCGGAAGCUGUGCAAGCCUUAAUUUAUGUGAGAUGGCAGGAUCAAGUCUAGGACGCAUCCAAGAAAAAAAUCAGUGAGUAUCUGGAGAGAGUUCAAGCUGUGCGUUCUGCAGUUCAAUCAAAGAGUGCUGAUCCUUUGAAAUCAAAACAUCAGUUGGACCUAGAGCAUGCCCACUUCCUUGUUACACAAGCUUUUGAUGAGGAUGAAAAAGGGAAUGUGGACAAUGCUAUAGAAUUGUAUACAGAAGUUGUGGAUCUCUAUCUGAAAACUAGCAGAAGCAUUGAGUGAGCCUUUCACAAAGCCAUUUUGCAAAGUCAAGUCAACAAAUUUUAAAACGAAAAGUCCUCCUGUGAGAACACAUUUUCCUCUAGGACCUGAUCCCUUCCUUGAGAAGUCUCAGGCAUUUAUAAGUCCACAGUCAUGUGAUACACAAGGACAGAGAUACACAGCAGAAGAAAUAGAAGUGCUCAGGACAAGGUUAAACAAUCAAUGGUAUAGAAUAUGUUCCUUUCAUGAGUGUUGAUCUGAGGGAACGUUUUGCUUAUCCAGUGCCUUUUUGCGAUAGAUGGGGCAAGCUGCCAUUAUCACCCAAACAAAAAAAUACAUUUUCCAAAUGGGUAUGGCCAGAAGACCUCACCAACAAUCCUACAAUGAUAUACACUAUAUCCAGUUUUAGUAUAAAGCAGGUUACGUGGUCUGUAUGUUACACUGUCUCCCCAGCUGCAUAAAUGUACAUUCAGCAUGGGCCACAGCCGUGACGAAGCCAUCAUGAAAAUGGUGAAACUGGACCUGAAAGUGGGGCGCUUUUGAAGAACAGACACAGCCACCACACGACACCGUUCUUAGUUCACUAAUGUUAGCCUUAGGACAAAGCCAGACACCUUGUACUGGGCAGGCAUUAGACUACAACCAGCCUUUUCCUGCCUUUAGCCAGCCAUCCUGGUACUGUAAUUUAGGGGUUGAUGGUGGUUGAAAUUGAUUUCUGGUUGGUUACUAAGGUGCCUGAUAGGCACUGUAUAAAAUCAAAACAUGAAGAAUGUUUUUCUCCUUGAGCAUGGCUAGUGGAUUUAAAACAACACACUGCUGGAGUCAGACUUAGAAAAGCCUUAAGUGGGAAGUGUUGCUGAGGAGCAGGCACCGGCCUCACAGCCCUCACAGGCGGGCUUUGCCUCAGCUCCUCUGUGUUGGCCUUUCACCUCUUCACUUAGGUUUGGUUCCAGCAGGACCUGAUGGCCACGCAUCCCUUGGCCAUGGGAGGUUGCUGAGACUGACGAUGAGGCUGGGCCGGGUCAGGCCUUGUCUCAGUCUCCCACGGAGCUGGAAAUGGGGUUGGGGGUCAGAUUCUUAGGGAAGAUUUUACCUGACUUGUUAUGGGAAAAAUCACACAGGAAGAGAAACCACCUCACUUUGAAAAAUUAGCUCCGCUGAAGACUACCUUUUCUACCCAGGAUCGGAGGCGGUGAACUACUGGCUCUGCAUUGCACCAGGGGCCAGGGUCUGACUGGGCUGGAGCCUGCCUGUUGACCUCUGCAGCCAGAUUUCUAUAUCGAGAGAGUUUUUGGUUCUUUCUUUUUUUUUUUUAAAGACACCUUGUGGCUACCAGUCAUCAGUAGAUAUGUUGGGGAACACCUGGGGAACUGUUUGUUUCCUUGGAGACCAGGAGGAUGAUAUGUGGCUUCUACUAGUUUCUGUGUAGCGCAUAGUUUGGGGACAAACGAUCAGUUUCUUCCACGGGGUAGGUUUAGGAAGACAGAGGCUGCACAGGAUUCUGUUGUGGCUGUCUCCAGCAUGCCAUGCAUGGUGGUGGCGGCUGUGGGCUGGGCAGCAGCUCUCAGCCUGGGCCUCCUCUGGUGCAGAUAUAGCAGCUCUGGCCAGGUGGGGGCACUUGUGUGGGCUGGUUAGGAACCCAUUACUGGUCAGAUGGGUGGGGCUGGGUAGACAUUAGGAGCCCUCGGAAGUCUUGAUCUGGUGACUGGCCUCAGUUGUCUGGUUCAGGCCUGCGACCUGGUGUGGGGCUGCCCACACUUGGCUGCUGAUGGAUGGUUUAACCCAGCAACUUUCUUUUGUAUGAGACGACAGAGUUCAACACUCUGCAGAUUAACAGUUGGACAGCUGCAAAUACCAAUGUCUUGUGAUGUAAAAUAAUGACUGUGAAAUCAUGUUCUCCCCACUCCUGCAUCUGACCCUACCUCCCACCAGAUGGAAGUUGCUGCAGAAUCUCCAGCGUUAAUCUUUGCUUCAGGACCCAGACUGGUGACUCGCUCUGGUCAGCCCAAGUCACUGGGGCCGGGCCUGGUCUGCCUGGCCUUUACCACCAUUGUCAAGCCACAACCUUCUGGCCACCAGAGGCCUUCCUCAGUGAGCAUCAACAGAGCUCUGAUCCUAGAAGAAGCCACAGGUGCCCUUCUCAGUCCUCCUAGACCUAACCAGCAUCAGCUGCCUCCCCCAGCACUGGGAAGGGGGUGCUCAGACCACACACCCAGGGAUCAAGUCAAGUUCACUUCCUGCCUGGAGAGAGGUGGGGGAGGAAGGGCUUUUUCCCCCUGCAAUCUGUGUUCUAUGAAGUUUGCUAAAUGUAAGGGAAGCUUAAAUUGUUGUGUCUAUAAAGAGAAAAAUCUUAUUUAUACCUGUGUGUUCUUGACUGACUUACACACAAAGCCUAGAGGUCAGUUUUUUAACAUUGUGACCAUAUUAAAAGAAUCUCGUAACUUUCAUUCCUUUUUCUCCUGCUGAAAAAAAAAUUAAACCAAAUAUACGAA